rnacentral:rRNA from 1 species
CUCCGGUUGAUCCCGCCGGACCCGACUGCUAUCAGAGUGGGACUAAGCCAUGCGAGUCAACAUAGCAAUAUGUGGCAUACGGCUCAGUAACAUGUAGUCAACAUGCCCAGGGGACGUGGAUAACCUCGGGAAACUGAGGAUAAACCGCGAUAGGUCAUCACUUCUGGAAUGGGUAAUGACUUAAAUCUAUAUGGCCCCUGGAUUGGACUGCGGCCGAUCAGGCUGUUGGUGAGGUAAUGGCCCACCAAACCUGUAACCGGUACGGGCUCUGAGAGGAGGAGCCCGGAGAUGGGCACUGAGACAAGGGCCCAGGCCCUAUGGGGCGCAGCAGGCGCGAAACCUCUGCAAUAGGCGAAAGCUUGACAGGGUUACUCUGAGUGAUUUCCGUUAAGGAGAUCUUUUGGCACCUCUAAAAAUGGUGCAGAAUAAGGGGUGGGCAAGUCUGGUGUCAGCCGCCGCGGUAAUACCAGCACCCCGAGUGGUCGGGACGUUUAUUGGGCCUAAAGCAUCCGUAGCCGGUUCUACAAGUCUUCCGUUAAAUCCACCUGCUUAACAGAUGGGCUGCGGAAGAUACUAUAGAGCUAGGAGGCGGGAGAGGCAAGCGGUACUCGAUGGGUAGGGGUAAAAUCCGUUGAUCCAUUGAAGACCACCAGUGGCGAAGGCGGCUUGCCAGAACGCGCUCGACGGUGAGGGAUGAAAGCUGGGGGAGCAAACCGGAUUAGAUACCCGGGUAGUCCCAGCUGUAAACGAUGCAGACUCGGUGAUGAGUUGGCUUAUUGCUAACUCAGUGCCGCAGGGAAGCCGUUAAGUUUGCCGCCUGGGGAGUACGGUCGCAAGACUGAAACUUAAAGGAAUUGGCCGGGGAGCA